UUGGGAUUUUUUUUUGGACCGACCCAAAUCAAUUUUCCUCCGGGAGCCGGGGAUCCUCUUUUCAUUUCUCCUUCUGAAUUCUACACUUUGAAUAUUUAAUGAACUUGGAUUUUCCUUUGUUUCAACCUUAACAAGGUGUCCUUCGAGAGCCGGAACUUGGGAUUUUUUUUGGACUCAAAUCAAUUUUCUUCCGGGAGCCGGGGAUCCCUUUUUCAUUUCUACUUCUGAACUCUACACUUUGAAUAUUAAAUGAACUUGGAUUAUUCUUUGUUUAUACCCAAAGGAAGUGUCAUUGGAGAGCUCGAUAACUA